rnacentral:rRNA from 1 species
GAAUUGACGGGGGCCCGCACAAGCGGUGGAGCAUGUGGUUUAAUUCGAAGCAACGCGAAGAACCUUACCAGGUCUUGACAUCCUUUGACCACUCUGGAGACAGAGCUUUCCCUUCGGGGACAAAGUGACAGGUGGUGCAUGGUUGUCGUCAGCUCGUGUCGUGAGAUGUUGGGUUAAGUCCCGCAACGAGCGCAACCCUUGAUUUUAGUUGCCAGCAUUUAGUUGGGCACUCUAAAGUGACUGCCGGUGCAAGCCGGAGGAAGGUGGGGAUGACGUCAAAUCAUCAUGCCCCUUAUGACCUGGGCUACACACGUGCUACAAUGGAUAGUACAAAGGGUCGCGAAGCCGCGAGGUGGAGCUAAUCCCAUAAAACUAUUCUCAGUUCGGAUUGUAGGCUGCAACUCGCCUACAUGAAGCCGGAAUCGCUAG